GCACUGCUGAGGAGUCCCACAACAGGGCGAGAUAGCCAUCCAGUAC
rnacentral:hammerhead_ribozyme from 1 species